CCUACGGGGGGCAGCAGUAGGGAAUAUUGCUCAAUGGGGGAAACCCUGAAGCAGCAACGCCGCGUGGAGGAUGAAGGUUUUCGGAUUGUAAACUCCUUUUGUUAGAGAAGAUAAUGACGGUAUCUAACGAAUAAGCACCGGCUAACUCCGUGCCAGCAGCCGCGGUAAUACGGAGGGUGCAAGCGUUACUCGGAAUCACUGGGCGUAAAGCGCGCGUAGGCGGGAUAGCAAGUCAGAUGUGAAAUCCUAUGGCUUAACCAUAGAACUGCAUUUGAAACUGGUAUUCUAGAGUAUGGGAGAGGUAGGUGGAAGUCGUGGUGUAGGGGUAAAAUCCGUAGAGAUCAAGAGGAAUACUCAUUGCGAAGGCGACCUGCUAGAACAUAACUGACGCUGAUGCGCGAAAGCGUGGGGAGCAAACAGGAUUAGAUACCCGUGUAGUC
rnacentral:rRNA from 1 species